rnacentral:rRNA from 1 species
UGGGGAAUAUUGGACAAUGGGCGCAAGCCUGAUCCAGCCAUGCCGCGUGAGUGAUGAAGGCCCUAGGGUUGUAAAGCUCUUUCACCGGUGAAGAUAAUGACGGUAACCGGAGAAGAAGCCCCGGCUAACUUCGUGCCAGCAGCCGCGGUAAUACGAAGGGGGCUAGCGUUGUUCGGAUUUACUGGUCGUAAAGCGCACGUAGGCGGACUAUUAAGUCAGGGGUGAAAUCCCGGGGCUCAACCCCGGAACUGCCUUUGAUACUGGUAGUCUUGAGUUCGAGAGGGGUGAGUGGAAUUCCGAGUGUAGAGGUGAAAUUCGUAGAUAUUCGGAGGAACACCAGUGGCGAAGGCGGCUCACUGGCUAGAUACUGACGCUGAGGUGCGAAAGCGUGGGGAGCAAACAGG